CGGGAUGAGCUCUAUUUUAAAUUUUGGCUGGUUUACUAGUCCGAAUUGUAUUAGUUUAUAGAAGCGUUUUCGGUGGCAGCCUGGAUAUAAAUCCCUUGGAAGAGGGUGUCAUUGAGGGUGAGAAUCCCGUCUUUGACUCAGGGCAUGCUACCACGUGAUACGUUUUCAAA
rnacentral:rRNA from 1 species